AUUGAACGCUGGCGGCAUGCCUUACACAUGCAAGUCGAACGGCAGCACGGGGGCAACCCUGGUGGCGAGUGGCGAACGGGUGAGUAACGCAUCGGAAUGUACCCAGUAGUGGGGGAUAACUAGUCGAAAGAUUAGCUAAUACCGCAUACGCACUGAGGUGGAAAGCGGGGGAUCGCAAGACCUCGCGCUAUUGGAGCAGCCGAUGUCCGAUUAGGUAGUUGGUGGGGUAAAGGCCUACCAAGCCUGCGAUCGGUAACUGGUCUGAGAGGACGACCAGUCACACUGGGACUGAGACACGGCCCAGACUCCUACGGGAGGCAGCAGUGGGGAAUUUUGGACAAUGGGCGCAAGCCUGAUCCAGCAAUGCCGCGUGUGUGAAGAAGGCCUCGGUUGUAACUGCUUUUGUUACGGUAACGAACGGACGAGCUCUAAUACAGUUUGCUAAUGACGGUACCGUAA
rnacentral:rRNA from 1 species